UGGGGAAUAUUGCACAAUGGGCGCAAGCCUGAUGCAGCCAUGCCGCGUGUGUGAAGAAGGCCUUCGGGUUGUAAAGCACUUUCAGCGGGGAGGAAGGCGUUAAGGUUAAUAACCUUGGCGAUUGACGUUACCCGCAGAAGAAGCACCGGCUAACUCCGUGCCAGCAGCCGCGGUAAUACGGAGGGUGCAAGCGUUAAUCGGAAUUACUGGGCGUAAAGCGCACGCAGGCGGUCUGUCAAGUCGGAUGUGAAAUCCCCGGGCUCAACCUGGGAACUGCAUUCGAAACUGGCAGGCUAGAGUCUUGUAGAGGGGGGUAGAAUUCCAGGUGUAGCGGUGAAAUGCGUAGAGAUCUGGAGGAAUACCGGUGGCGAAAGCGGCCCCCUGGACAAAGACUGACGCUCAGGUGCGAAAGCGUGGGGAGCAAACAGG
rnacentral:rRNA from 1 species